GCCGGCGUAGCUUAAGAAAAGCAUGACUCUGAAGAUGUUAAAAUGGGCCAUAAAAAGCCCCGCAAGCA
rnacentral:tRNA from 1 species